ACUGUUAGUUCACAUUUCAUAUGCAUUUAUAGCAUUCAUAUUUUGUGUCUUUGUGAUGUUUUUGAUCAAACUUGUUGCAUUUUACAUUAUUUGGUGUUAGUGUGUAGUUAAGUUUGUUUUAGGAUCAAUUGGAAGGCAAUGAAGCAAAAACACCACAUUUUGUGACCGAGAGCUAGUUCAAGCAUGGAGAACAUCUUGUGAGUUAACUUGAAGUCCAAGUGAAGAAUUGAGGACAAGUUGGUUGCUAGAAUUUCAGGAAUUGACAAAGGGUGCAAUUCGGCCAGAUUGGGUGAUUUUAUGCAUGGCACAUGCAUUGGAUUCAGAUUGGGAGGUUUAACACACCUUGCCAUGCAUUUGGUUACCCUUUCAACCCCCUUUCUUCACCUAGAACAUUCACCCCCCCCAUUAGUUACACCAUUCAGCCACAUUUCACCCACUAAUUCACCCAUGCCGUGCAUUGUUAAUCCUUGACAGCCUGUCCUUGCAGAUUUCACAUGCUCCUCCAUUUAAAUGACCACAUGCUUGCCCAUUCAACCCCAUGCCGUGCACUAUCCAUUUCAGAAAGGAAUUACCCCAUCAUUACACACACUAGCACUCCAUAUUUUACAAUUGUUAAGAUCCAAUCUUGGAUCUGAAUCCAAAAGCUAUUCCAUCCAUUCCCUUUAAGUGAGCUCCUUCAAGAAAUCUGAAACUCUCGGAAUUCCAUCUUCAAUUGGACACCAACUCUACAUUCCAUUAUAUACACUACAUUCCAUAACCUACAUUCUAUCUAUCCCACUCCAGAUUCGACAUUCCUUACACAUUCAUUCUAUUCUUCUUACACACAACCUCUCCAUUUUCUGUCCAUCCUCUUCACCAUAUUACACCAACCAUUUCACCACAACCGUACCACCUUCAUUUAUACAUCAUUCUUGGAGGAGUUACACCACACUUGGAGAGCUAACACCGAAGGCCAUUCUCAAGUGAUCUUCGAUUCCAGUUUUGCUUCAAGGGGUUUUUCUUCUCAAUUUUAUGUACACUCAUGUGUUAUAUUUAUAUGUCAAAUCUUUGUAAACAUGAAGUGUA
rnacentral:lncRNA from 1 species